rnacentral:ncRNA from 1 species
UAAAUUUUGAGUUUGAUGAUGGCUCUGAUUGAACGCUGUCCAAGUACUUGACACAUGCUAAUCGAACGACUAAUUAGUUUAAUAAACUGAAUAGUAGUGGUGUACAGGUGAGUAAAAGAUAAUUUGGCUACCUUAAAGUAAGGGGAAAAAUCCCUUAUAAAAAGAAAGGAAAAUAAAAAGUCCGCUUUAAGAUGUUAAUCUUUAUCUCGGAGAGUAGUAGGAAAGGUAAUGACUUUUCUAGCUUAAAUCCGUAGUCGUGACUGAGAGGUCGAUCGACCACAUUGGGUCUGAAAAAACCCCAAUGCGUAUUAGUACAGCAGUGAGGAAUAUUGGUCAAUGGCCGAAAGGCUGAACCAGUAACUUGGAAGAAUGUAAGUGUAUUAUAGUAAUACAGUAACGAUUAACUCGUAUAAAAUUCUAAAUAGGAUAAUGAUAAUGACAAUUUCCUAUUUAUAAGUCUUGACCAAAUUACGUGCCAGCAGUCGCGGUAAUACGUAGAAGACUAGUGUUAGUCAUCUUUAUUAGGUUUAAAGGGUACCUAGACGGUAAAUUAAACUCUAAAUGAGUACUUUUUUACUAGAGUUUUAUGAGAGAAGGAAGAAUUUCUGGAGUAGUGAUGAAAUACUUUGAUACCAGAAGGACUGGUAACGGCGAAGGCAUCCUUCUAUGUAAAAACUGACGUUGAGGGACGAAGGCUUGGGUAGCAAUAAGGAUUAGAUACCCUAGUAGUCCAAGCAGAAAAUGAUGAAUGUCAUAGGCUAGAUAAUAUUUAGUCUAUAAAUGAAAGUGUAAGCAUUCCACCUCAAGAGUAAUAUGGCAACAUAUAAACUGAAAUCAUUAGACCGUUUCUGAAACCAGUAGUGAAGUAUGUUAUUUAAUUCGAUGAUCCGCGAAAAACC